rnacentral:rRNA from 1 species
AUUGAACGCUGGCGGCAUGCCUUACACAUGCAAGUCGAACGGCAGCACGGGGCAACCUGGUGGCGAGUGGCGAACGGGUGAGUAAUGCAUCGGAACGUACCUUUCAGUGGGGGAUAACGUAGCGAAAGUUACGCUAAUACCGCAUAUUCUGUGAGCAGGAAAGCAGGGGAUCGCAAGACCUUGCGCUGAUUGAGCGGCCGAUGUCAGAUUAGCUAGUUGGUGGGGUAAAGGCUCACCAAGGCGACGAUCUGUAGCGGGUCUGAGAGGAUGAUCAGCCAAACUGGAACGGAGACACGGUCCAGACUCCUACGGGAGGCAGCAGUGGGGAAUUUUGGACAAUGGGGGCAACCCUGAUCCAGCCAUGCCGCGUGAGUGAAGAAGGCCUUCGGGUUGUAAAGCUCUUUCGGCCGGGAAGAAAUCGCACGGGCUAAUACCCUGUGUGGAUGACGGUACCGGAAUAAGAAGCACCGGCUAACUACGUGCCAGCCGCCGCGGUAAAAC